UCUUUUCUAUGGAAGCUUGCUUCCACUGAGAAGAUAGUGGCGGACGGGUGAGUAACACGUGGGUAACCUGCCCAUAAGAGGGGGAUAACAUCCGGAAACGGGUGCUAAUACCGCAUAGUUUUCUUGAUCGCAUGAUUGAGAAAGGAAAGACGGCCUUUGUGCUGUCGCUUAUGGAUGGACCCGCGGCGUAUUAGUUAGUUGGUGAGGUAACGGCUCACCAAGACGAUGAUACGUAGCCGACCUGAGAGGGUGAUCGGCCACAUUGGGACUGAGACACGGCCCAAACUCCUACGGGAGGCAGCAGUAGGGAAUCUUCCGCAAUGGACGAAAGUCUGACGGAGCAACGCCGCGUGAGUGAAGAAGGUUUUCGGAUCGUAAAACUCUGUUGUCAGAGAAGAACAAGUCGGAGAGUAACUGCUCCGGCCUUGACGGUAUCUGACCAGAAAGCCACGGCUAACUACGUGCCAGCAGCCGCGGUAAUACGUAGGUGGCAAGCGUUGUCCGGAUUUAUUGGGCGUAAAGCGAGCGCAGGCGGUUCCUUAAGUCUGAUGUGAAAGCCCACGGCUCAACCGUGGAAGGUCAUUGGAAACUGGGGAACUUGAGUGCAGAAGAGGAGAGUGGAAUUCCAUGUGUAGC
rnacentral:rRNA from 1 species